AGAAAUGUUGGGAUACGUUUCAGUGGAGGAGAUGUGAAUAGACCUUUCAAACACAUUUAGAAGACUGACCUGGUACUAUAUAUUUUUUUAUCCUAUUCAAAAGAAAAACUUCUGACUGAAAUGCUGUUUGUAUUUCAUAGAAUUGUGAACCACACCUGAUUCCUGUGCCACAUUGUCCAAACACCAGUGUUUGGACAAUAUUUGAAGUUAAAGCAUCAGAUAUCAUGUCAUUCUGAUAUUAAACAAAUGGCUUAUUAAUAGAAAAAAUCAUAAUACUUGAUUUAUUGAUCAUAUAUUGCUAGUUUUUAGUAUAAUUCGAACCUGAUUUACUGAGUACAGUGUUGCAUCUUACUCAGCAGUUCAAAUCAGUCACUUCUGUUUCUUUGUCUAGAGACUCUGAGAGACUGCUGUCAUCACUAACAAGUUGACCAGAUGCAAGGCUAAACAAAAGGUUUCUACCCCAUGCUCUUCAAUGAAAGAAUAAACAGUCCAGAAAAGGAGAAUGAACUCUUGAAGAAAAGCUAUGAUAAACUGUGUAAGUGCUCAGUGAUACCCCAGAUGAGCAGGAACUUGAAUGUGAAGAUACUGAUUUUGCCGAAUCUGUUUGAAAAAAGAAGCAAAGAAAUGCCACUGAACAAGACAUUGAUGGUGAGUUUUAGAGACCACUUUCUUGUAAACUUUUAUAGCUUAAAAACUAUUUGUCAAAUUUCUCUUUUUUUCUACAAGAUUUACUGUGAAAGUAGUUGUUUGACAUUGUGUCAAAAAGAAAUUCUUUAA
rnacentral:lncRNA from 1 species